UUCCUCUGAGGUCACGGAAUACGAUCAAUAAAUAGCGUAAGAGAAGAAUAAAUGGCUCCUCAAAGCGCAACAUCUGAAUGACUGGAUUGGAUCUAUCGUAGGAAGAAAGGACCCCGGUAACCGGAAAGCUACAACCGGUGCAUGGGGGAAAGCGAAGGUCCUCUAACACCAACACCAGUAUCGGAGGUCAUCGAGCGAAGGGGGGUGGUCUCUAUGGAUAGAGUUCUAUCAUAACCCAACCCUUCAAGCUACGACAUGGAGGGAAAGAACUGAUGAAGUGGCGGCUGCUAAAAGAUCGGAUAAAGCAGCAGAACACUCAGUAAGUAAAGAAGACUCGGUCCUAUAAUGCCGAGUUCCUAGUUAAAGUGUUGGGGACUACCCAGCGCAGAACAGUCUUCUUGGGUCAAAACUCGAAAGGAGCUCCCAGUGGCAAUGGAAAAUAGAGCUAACUAGGUCCUAUCUUUUCUUUCUUCUGACCCGAUGGGUGCUCUUAUGGGCUUCCUGUGGUACCACCUAAAGCGGAUGGUUUAGCAACAACGUCUGAUUCAAUUCAACAACAUCAGUGGUAUCAUCUAAAAAUUCAGCUGCAUAAAUUGUAUCGUCUACUGAGUCAGCGGCAUCCGACUUGACUCUAACAUCAUAUAACUCAGCAGCAUAAGUCGUCAAGGACAGCGGUGACAGAUCCUUUACAGGUUCCUACAAUGGAUUAGUUCGAUCCAAAGAUAUAUAUAUCGGAACUAAUGCCCGAGGAGUUUUAAUGGCAUGAAAAGACCAAUUGUCCGGUUCACCUUCACCCCCUACACGGCUUUCUGGUACUAAGAGUAUGGGUAGAGGCCCAUUUCAGUAGCACCAGUGCUAGCUUGCUCUGAGGUAACUCGCCC
rnacentral:lncRNA from 1 species